rnacentral:rRNA from 1 species
AUUGAACGCUGGCGGCAGGCCUCACACAUGCAAGUCGAGCGAGCGGCGGACGGGUGAGUAAUGUAUGGGGACUGCCCGAUAGAGGGGGAUAACUACUGGAAACGGUAGCUAAUACCGCAUACUAUCGGAUAAACCAUCGGGGAUUAGCUAGUAGGUGAGGUCAUGGCUCACCUAGGCGACGAUCCCUAGCUGGUCUGAGAGGAUGAUCAGCAACACUGUGGCUGAGACACGGCACCGACUCCGAAGGAGGCAGAAGUGGGGAAUAGUGCGCGCGAGGCGCAAGCCUGAUGCAGCCAUGCCGCGUGUAUGAAGAGGGCCCUAGGUUUGUAAAGUACGUUCAGUCGGGAGGCGUUACCGACAGAAGAAGCACCGGCUAACUCCGUGCCAGCAGCCGCGGUAAUAC